AUCGUGUCAAGGGCAUCAUGAAGGACAAUCUCAGUCGUCUAAAAUAUCUGAGCCUCGGAAGCGCUACUACGAAACUUCCAAAGGCGAUUGAGAACCUACAGUGUUUACAUACACUCGAAUUAAGAAAGACAAAUGUAGUGGCACUGCCUAUAGAAGUCAUAAAGCUGCCCCAUCUAGUUCACCUGUUUGGGAAGGUCAAGCUCAGGAAAAAGAGGAGUAUUCAUGCGGUGCAGGUAAUAGAUGAUAUCAUCUCAAACAAAAAAAGUAUCGGACAAAAGAGUAAGCUGCAGACUCUAUCAGGAUUUAUCAUAGACAAAGACUCUAUAAUUCCGCAACUGAUGGUUCAUAUGAGGGGACUGAGAAAGGUCAAGAUAUGGUGUGAUUAUUCCACUGGUGAAGGUAACACUAUCCACCUCAAGGAGGCUAUUGAAAAUAUGGUUAUGUACGAAAUGGACACAGGUGUUGGCGUUCGUUCUCUGUCACUGUACCUCGGAAAUGCCUUGGAGAAUCUUCUUGGUCUUCUAGGUGAAACAAAUGGUUUUCUUACCACUCUGAAACUGCACGGCAGACUGAGCCAAUUUCCCAAGUUUGUUACGUCGCUUACAGGCAUCAAAGAGUUGUGCCUUUCAUCAACUAAUCUAACUGGGAGUGAUUUAUCAGGAUCAGGCCUGGGUGAUCUACCCUGCUUGCUUUAUCUCAAACUGGUAGAAUACAACCUUGUGGGCUUCGUCAUUAAAAAAGGGGAUUACCCAGUCCUGCAGCGCCUAUGUCUAGUGGUGGAGAGUCCUAAUCCUAUCCUACCUAAAAUCGAAGAGGAAGCUUUGCCAGAACUUGUUUCACUUCACCUGCUUUGUGUGCGCCUUGGUGAUCUUGCUGGCAUUAAUAUUAGAAACCACACAAAUCUCCAGGAAGUUGCUCUUGAUUCAGCUAUCAGUAUGGAAACCAUAAUUACUUGGGAAAAUGAAGCUCGGAAGCACCCAAAAAGACCCAAGGUUUUGUUCUUCAAAAGGGUUGGCACACCCAACACUGGGUGUACGGUAAAGUAUACUGCGACCGAGAGGCCUAAAACACCUGAGAGCACGGGGCCCGGUGAAUCGAUGGAAAUAGAUAAUUAAGGUCCUCUCCGUCUCUGACUGAUCGAGCUGCUAAAUGCUCGCCAUGUUCUUCAAGCAUGUCGAUCGUAAAGCUGUUGUUCCGCAGGAGCUGUAAGAUCGGCGCCCGACCACCGUCUGUUGAAUUUCCAUAUUUACUACAGUGAACCAUGUCGUGUGUGAUGUGUCAAGUUUCCUUACAGAAUGAGUAACUUUCGUAUUCAUAUUAUCAUGUCGGCCUGCUACAAAAAUAAAAUCAGAACAAA